GACGAACGCUGGCGGCGUGCUUAACACAUGCAAGUCGAGCGAUGAAGUUCCUUCGGGAACGGAUUAGCGGCGGACGGGUGAGUAACACGUGGGUAACCUGCCUCAUAGAGGGGAAUAGCCUUCCGAAAGGAAGAUUAAUACCGCAUAAGAUUGUAGUAUCGCAUGAUACAGCAAUUAAAGGAGUAAUCCGCUAUGAGAUGGACCCGCGUCGCAUUAGCUAGUUGGUGAGGUAACGGCCCACCAAGGCAACAAUGCGUAGCCGACCUGAGAGGGUGAUCGGCCACAUUGGGACUGAGACACGGCCCAGACUCCUACGGGAGGCAGCAGUGGGGAAUAUUGCACAAUGGGGGAAACCCUGAUGCAGCAACGCCGCGUGAGUGAUGACGGUCUUCGGAUUGUAAAGCUCUGUCUUCAGGGACGAUAAUGACGGUACCUGAGGAGGAAGCCAUGGCUAACUACGUGCCAGCCGCCGCCGUAAAAC
rnacentral:rRNA from 1 species